rnacentral:tRNA from 1 species
GUCGGAAUGGUCUAGUUGGUUAUGACGCGGCCUUCACACGGCUGAGGUCCGGAGUUCGAUCCUCUGUUCCGAUA